rnacentral:misc_RNA from 1 species
AAAGUCGUAACAAGGUUUCCGUAGGUGAACCUGCGGAAGGAUCAUUAUCGUGGGGCUUCGGCCCCGUCGAGAUAGCACCCUUGCCUUUAUGAGUACCUUGGUUCCCUCCCCCGUACCUUCGGGGAGCGGGAGGGACCUCGUCCGUUUCCCUGUGGCGGCGAAAGCCCCUGGGGACCGCAAAACACGCUGUAACCACCUGCAACCGUCUGAUAAACAAACAAAAAAAUCAAAACUUUCAACAACGGAUCUCUUGGUUCUG